rnacentral:rRNA from 1 species
GAUGAACGCUGGCGGCGUGCCUAAUACAUGCAAGUCGAACGCACCACUUCGGUGGUGAGUGGCGAACGGGUGAGUAACACGUAGAUAACCUGCCCUUAAGACGAGGAUAACCGUUGGAAACGAUGGCUAAAACUGGAUAGGAAUAUUGAAGGCAUCUUUAAUAUUUUAAAAGACCUAGUAAUAGGUAUACUUAAGGAGGGGUCUGCGGCGCAUUAGUUAGUUGGUGAGGUGAUGGCUUACCAAGACGAUGAUGCGUAGCCGGACUGAGAGGUUGAACGGCCACAUUGGGACUGAGAAACGGCCCAAACUCCUACGGGAGGCAGCAGUAGGGAAUUUUCGGCAAUGGGGGAAACCCUGACCGAGCAACGCCGCGUGAAUGACGAAGUACUUCGGUAUGUAAAGUUCUUUUAUCAGGGAAGAAUGACUUAUGGAAAAAUAAGUGUGACGGUACCUGAUGAAUAAGCCCGGCCUAACUAUGUG